rnacentral:rRNA from 1 species
GACGAACGCUGGCGGCGUGCUUAACACAUGCAAGUCGAACGGAAAGGCCUUUUCGGAGGUACUCGAGUGGCGAACGGGUGAGUAACACGUGGGUGAUCUGCCCUGCACUCUGGGAUAAGCCUGGGAAACUGGGUCUAAUACCGGAUAGGACCGCACUUUAGUGUGUGUGGUGGAAAGUUUUUUCGGUGUAGGAUGAGCCCGCGGCCUAUCAGCUUGUUGGUGGGGUAAUGGCCUACCAAGGCGGCGACGGGUAGCCGGACUGGGAGGUUGGUCGGCCACAUUGGGGCUGAGAUACGGCCCAGACUCCUACGGGAGGCAGCAGUGGGGAAUAUUGCACAAUGGGCGCAAGCCUGAUGCAGCGACGCCGCGUGGGGGAUGACGGCCUUCGGGUUGUAAACUCCUUUCGCCAGGGACGAAGCGUUUUGUGACGGUACCUGGAGAAGAAGCACCGGCUAACUACGUG